CCCCACAGACGCGGACGAGUGCUCCAACGGGACGCUGUGCGGGGCUCACGCCGCCUGCCGCAACCUGCCGGGCUCCUUCCAGUGCGUCUGCGACCCCGGCUACGAGAGCGCCCGCCACGGCCACGGCUGCGUGGAUGUGGACGAGUGCGAGACGCUGCGGGGCGUCUGCGGGGCCGAACGGUGCGAGAACGUGGAAGGCUCCUUCCUCUGCCUCUGCCCCGACACCCGCGACGAGUUCGACCCCGUGCCGGGGCGAUGCGUGACCCCCCCGGCCCCCCAAAGCCCGCCGCGGGCCCCCCCCGAAGGCGCCGCCUGCUUCAGCAGGGCUUGCGGGGUGCUGGCACCCAACGUCAGCCGGGAGCGCUGCUGCUGCAGCCUGGGCUGGGCGUGGGGCACCCACUGCCCCGCGCGGCCCUGCCCGACCCCCGGCACCGAGGCCCACCUCGCCAUCUGCCCGCACGGGCAGGGCCGCACCGCCGAGGGUCCCCAGGGCUCGCCGGCAGACGUGGACGAGUGCCAGCUCUUCGGGCCCCAGCUCUGCCGGGGGGGGGUUUGCCUCAACGCCGCCCCCGGCUUCAGCUGCUACUGCCCCAGCGGCUACUACUACGAGCAGGAGCACCUGCAGUG